UACAGAGGUCUCAAGCGUUGUUCGGAUUCAUUGGGCGUAAAGGGUGUGUAGGUGGCGCCGUAAGUCGGGUGUGAAAUUUCGGAGCUUAACUCCGAAACUGCAUUCGAUACUGCCGUGCUUGAGGACUGGAGAGGAGACUGGAAUUUACGGUGUAGCGGUGAAAUGCGUAGAUAUCGUAAGGAAGACCAGUGGCGAAGGCGGGUCUCUGGACAGUUCCUGACGCUGAGGCACGGAAGGUCAGGGGAGCAAACGGG
rnacentral:rRNA from 1 species